rnacentral:rRNA from 1 species
UACGUAGGGUGCAAGCGUUGUCCGGAAUUAUUGGGCGUAAAGAGCUCGUAGGCGGUUCGUCGCGUCGGCUGUGAAAACCCGGAGCUCAACUCCGGGCCUGCAGUCGAUACGGGCAGGCUAGAGUUCGGUGAGGGGAGACUGGAAUUCCGUGUGUAGCGGUGAAAUGCGCAGAUAUCAGGAGGAACACCGGUGGCGAAGGCGGGUCUCUGGGCCGAUACUGACGCUGAGGAGCGAAAGCGUGGGGAGCGAACAGG